rnacentral:rRNA from 1 species
AUCAACUUUCGAUGGUAGGAUAGAGGCCUACCAUGGUGGUAACGGGUAACGGGGUGUUAGGGCACGACACCGGAGAGGGAGCCUGAGAAACGGCUACCACAUCCAAGGAUGGCAGCAGGCGCGCAAAUUACCCAAUCCCGACACGGGGAGGUAGUGACAAUAAAUAACAAUACGGGGUUCUUUCGGAUUUCGUAAUUGGAAUGAGUACAAUUUAAAUCUCUUAACGAGGAACAAUUGGAGGGCAAGUCUGGUGCCAGCAGCCGCGGUAAUUCCAGCUCCAAUAGCGUAUAUUAAAGUUGCUGCAGUUAAAAAGCUCGUAGUUGAAUUUCGGGAUCAACAUGUCGGUCGUGCCUCGGUACGUACUGGCUUAUUGGUUUCUCCCUUCUGACGAACCAUGAUGUCAUUUAUUUGGUGUGGUGGGGAAUCAGGACUGUUACUUUGAAAAAAUUAGAGUGUUUAAAGCAGGCUCACGCUUGAAUACAUUAGCAUGGAAUAAUGAAAUAGGACGUUUGAUUCUAUUUUGUUGGUUUCUAGGAUCGACGUAAUGAUUAAUAGGGAUAGUUGGGGGCAUUAGUAUUCAAUUGUCAGAGGUGAAAUUCUUGGAUUUAUUGAAGACUAACUACUGCGAAAGCAUUUGCCAAGGAUGUUUUCAUUAAUCAAGAACGAAAGUUAGGGGAUCGAAGACGAUCAGAUACCGUCGUAGUCUUAACCAUAAACUAUGCCGACUAGGGAUCGGAUGAUGUUAAUUUUUUAAUGACUCAUUCGGCGCCUUACGGGAAACCAAAGUGUUUGGGUUC